rnacentral:rRNA from 1 species
GAUGAACGCUAGCUACAGGCUUAACACAUGCAAGUCGAGGGGCAGCAUUUUAGUUUGCUUGCAAACUGAAGAUGGCGACCGGCGCACGGGUGAGUAACACGUAUCCAACCUGCCGAUAACUCCGGGAUAGCCCUUCGAAAGAAAGAUUAAUACCGGAUAGCAUACGAAUAUCGCAUGAUAUUUUUAUUAAAGAAUUUCGGUUAUCGAUGGGGAUGCGUUCCAUUAGUUUGUUGGCGGGGUAACGGCCCACCAAGACUACGAUGGAUAGGGGUUCUGAGAGGAAGGUCCCCCACAUUGGAACUGAGACACGGUCCAAACUCCUACGGGAGGCAGCAGUGAGGAAUAUUGGUCAAUGGGCGCGAGCCUGAACCAGCCAAGUAGCGUGAAGGAUGAAGGCUCUAUGGGUCGUAAACUUCUUUUAUAUGGGAAUAAAGUUUUCCACGUGUGGAAUUUUGUAUGUACCAUAUGAAUAAGGAUCGGCUAACUCCGUGCCAGCAGCCGCGGUAAUACGGAGGAUCCGAGCGUUAUCCGGAUUUAUUGGGUUUAAAGGGAGCGUAGGUGGAUUGUUAAGUCAGUUGUGAAAGUUUGCGGCUCAACCGUAAAAUUGCAGUUGAAACUGGCAGUCUUGAGUACAGUAGAGGUGGGCGGAAUUCGUGGUGUAGCGGUGAAAUGCUUAGAUAUCACGAAGAACUCCGAUUGCGAAGGCAGCUCACUAGACUGUCACUGACACUGAUGCUCGAAAGUGUGGGUAUCAAACAGGAUUAGAUACCCUGGUAGUCCACACAGUAAACGAUGAAUACUCGCUGUUUGCGAUAUACAGUAAGCGGCCAAGCGAAAGCAUUAAGUAUUCCACCUGGGGAGUACGCCGGCAACGGUGAAACUCAAAGGAAUUGACGGGGGCCCGCACAAGCGGAGGAACAUGUGGUUUAAUUCGACGAUACGCGAGGAACCUUACCCGGGCUUAAAUUGCAACAGAAUAUAUUGGAAACAGUAUAGCCGUAAGGCUGUUGUGAAGGUGCUGCAUGGUUGUCGUCAGCUCGUGCAGUGAGGUGUCGGCUUAAGUGCCAUAACGAGCGCAACCCUUAUCUUUAGUUACUAACAGGUCAUGCUGAGGACUCUAGAGAGACUGCCGUCGUAAGAUGUGAGGAAGGUGGGGAUGACGUCAAAUCAGCACGGCCCUUACGUCCGGGGCUACACACGUGUUACAAUGGGGGGUACAGAAGGCGGCUACCUGGUGACAGGAUGCUAAUCCCAAAAACCUCUCUCAGUUCGGAUCGAAGUCUGCAACCCGACUUCGUGAAGCUGGAUUCGCUAGUAAUCGCGCAUCAGCCAUGGCGCGGUGAAUACGUUCCCGGGCCUUGUACACACCGCCCGUCAAGCCAUGAAAGCCGGGGGUACCUGAAGUACGUAACCGCAAGGAGCGUCCUAGGGUAAAACUGGU